rnacentral:rRNA from 1 species
AAUACAUCGGAACGUGCCCUGUAGUGGGGGAGUAACUAGUCGAAAGAUUAGCUAAUACCGCAUACGACCUGAGGGUGAAAGUGGGGGACCGGCAAGGCCUCAUGCUAUAGGAGCGGCCGAUGUCUGAUUAGCUAGUUGGUGAGGUAAAGGCUCACCAAGGCGACGAUCAGUAGCUGGUCUGAGAGGACGAUCAGCCACACUGGGACUGAGACACGGCCCAGACUCCUACGGGAGGCAGCAGCU